rnacentral:lncRNA from 1 species
CGGUAAGAAAUGAUGUUGUUCCAUAUUGUUAUUACUUAAUUAAUUAUUGAUAGUCAUUAUGUACUUUCAAAUUACGCCGUAUGAUUUGAAAAUUUGAUUGAAUUUAUUCAGCUGCUAAACAGAGACAGGAUCUUUUUUUGGAAAUCUUCAUCACUACCUCGUGAGGGCAGCCUCUGUAGAGAUGGUUUCAAUUUUGCAGAUUUGCGAUUUCUCAAAGAUUCUGAAGCAAGUUCAUUUAUUUCUAGCUCAUCUGAAUCAUCCUCAUUUGAAUCAUCCAAACCAUCCUGGAAUUGAAUGAAUUAGUGUAUAUCUAUAUAUUUUGAAAAAACUGAUUUUACUCCAUCUAGGAGAAUAUCUGACUCGGAUCCAAGGGAAUCGUCUUCUCCAUCAUCCUCUGCAGCUCCAGAUAUCAUGGAUCCAUAAACUCUCCUUGUUGUUGGACCACUGGGUCUAUUAGUACUUGUGGAUUUAAGUGCUCCGUUUGACCCAUUUUUUGGAAGGAUGUCGUCAUCAUCAUCGUCGAUGUCGUCUUCAUCUUCGGAAGAUGUUAUGUCUCCUAAGCGUUCAUAGUGAGAGGAAACAUGAAGAUAAUGAAUUGGAUAACUAUUGAUCCUAAGCAGUUAUAAUCGAGUGGAUUAAUUAGACUGCCCCAUUUUCUGGCUAAUAUUUUUCAAAUUAAAUAAUAAAUCAAAAAACU